ensembl:lncRNA
GAGCUCCUGUCAGGUAAUCACAAACCUCUCUCCUCAAAAACUGGGUCACUGCACGGGCUUGGGCUUGGAACAGGAGUGGGAAUAGUUUUGUUUGGUCCUGGUCCCCACAGCCGUGUCCUGAGCUCUGGAAGGUUCAGCCCGUGGGGUGGGAGCUGUCACUUGAAUCACAUCCCAGCCCUGAGUGAUCUCUUCAUCAAUUGCCCCUUCAUAUGUUGCAUAUUAAACAAAUUUAAGUUAAAAAAGGGGAGGGGAGACUUGCUUGUCUAAAGUAGCACAGACAUCAAUUGUGAUUGAACUUCAAACCUUCUUGGAUUUCCAUUUUCCCUCUUCAGAGAGAAAAGGCAGAGUCAGGCAGGGGAGUCCCCUUCCCUAGGUGAGAAAAGUAACUUGAAUUUCUCUCUGAGCUCCAGAAUGGUUUGGGUUGGAAGGGCCUUAAAGCUCACCAAGUGAGCAUGGGCAGGGACACCUUCCACCAUCCCAGCCUGGCCUUGGACGCUCCCACGGAUCCAGGGGCAGCCACAGCUGCUCUGGGAAUUCCGUCCCAGUUCUUCCCCACCCUCCCAGCCAGGAAUUCCAUCCCAAUCUCCCAUCCAGCCCUGCCCUCUGGCAGUGGGAACCAUUCCUGUGUCCUGUCCCUCCAUCCCCUGUCCCCAAUCCCUCUCCAGCUCUCCUGGAACCUUCUCUGAUGAUGCUGGAAGCACCUCAGCUCUCCUGCUCUGCUCUUGGGGUGGGAAAUGGGGACAGCAGGACAUGGCAUUCCCUGGAAAGUGCCCACAGGUGCCCAGCAACCCCUGCCAGCCCCAUUCAGAGCUCUCCUCCUGAUUAACAUAAACAAUUUUGCACUUUUCUUCCUGUGAGCUUCUCAAAUGAGCUUUACUGACAAUUAAUUAAGCCUUGCAGCACCUUCUAAAGGAGAUAGGCAUUAUAAUUAGCAGCUCCAUUUUUAAUUAGGGACAAAAUUUUAAAUUGAAUUUUAGGUAUUUCCUCAUUAAAAAUUUUCUUCUAAAUAAUUACGAGGCAUUUUCUAAGUGGUAUCAAGAGUAAAUAGACUAAGAGUUCCUUGCAACAGAUUAACCCAAGCUUCUUGUAGCCAAUUUAAAAAGUUUAUUAAAAAUUUAGCCUUUUCUAUGUCAAAAUAAAAUAAUUUCCUUAUGCCUUUCUUACUGAACAAGACUGGAAACAGAAUUUUUCAUUGCUGAGGAAAUUAAUGCUGCUAAAACUUUCCUAUUAAAGAUUCUGCCUGUAUCUUUGAGAAAUGACACAGAAAGUGAUGAUAUAUUUGAAUAUUAAACCAGUCUUUUCCUAGAGGUCAGGAUAAUGCAUUUGCAUGCUACCAAAAUUUUGUGGCUUUGCCUGGUACCCUGUCAAAACAAAAAUUCAUCGAGAUCAACAUUUCUUUGUCAAAUAUUUUGCUUUUAAAGAAUUGUGAUAUUCUACAAAAAAAAAAAAAAAAAA